rnacentral:rRNA from 1 species
UACGUAGGGCGCAAGCGUUAUCCGGAAUUAUUGGGCGUAAAGAGCUCGUAGGCGGUUUGUCGCGUCUGCCGUGAAAGUCAGGGGCUCAACCCCUGAUCGGCCGUGCGAACUGGGGAGCUUGAGCACUGUAGAGGCAGGCGGAAUUCCGGGUGUAGCGGUGGAAUGCGUAGAGAUCCGGAAGAACACCGGUGGCGAAGGCGGCCUGCUGGGCAGUUUUGCUGACACUGAGGCGCGACAGCGUGGGGAGCAAACAGG